rnacentral:rRNA from 1 species
UACGUAGGGCGCGAGCGUUUGUCCGGAUUUAUUGGGCGUAAAGAGCUCGUAGGCGGCUUGUCGCGUCGUCCGUGAAAACCCACAGCUCAACUGUGGGCUUGCGGUCGAUACGGGCAGGCUAGAGUUCGGUAGGGGGAGACUGGAAUUCCUGGUGUAGCGGUGAAAUGCGCAGAUAUCAGGAGGAACACCGGUGGCGAAGGCGGAUCUCUGGGCCUGUCCUGACGCUGGAGGCGCGAAAAGCUAGGGGGAGCGAAACAGG